rnacentral:rRNA from 1 species
UCUGGUAAUGAUGGCAGAGAGGCCACACCCGUUCCCAUACCGAACACGGAAGUUAAGCUCUCUAGCGCCGAUGGUAGUUGGGACCUU